rnacentral:tRNA from 1 species
GCUCGGCUAGCUCAGUCGGUAGAGCAUGAGACUCUUGAUCGUGGGUUCGAGCCCCACGUUGGGCG